rnacentral:rRNA from 1 species
UAAUGUAUGGGGAUCUGCCCGAUAGAGGGGGAUAACUACUGGAAACGGUGGCUAAUACCGCAUAACGUCGCAAGACCAAAGUGGGGGACCUUCGGGCCUCAUGCCAUCAGAUGUGCCCAGAUGGGAUUAGCUAGUAGGUGGGGUAACGGCUCACCUAGGCGACGAUCCCUAGCUGGUCUGAGAGGAUGAUCAGCCACACUGGGACUGAGACACGGCCCAG